AUGCAAGUCGAGUGCGCGGUUGUAGCAAUACAACUGGCGCACGGCGCACGGGUGCGUAACACGUGGGCAAUCUGCCCUCCGAUGGGGAAUAACUCCGGGAAACCGAAGCUAAUUCCGCAUAACAUUCCCUGGACUCCGGUUUGGGGAAUCAAAGCAGUGAUGCGUCGGAGGAGGAGCCCGCGCCCGAUUAGCUAGUUGGCAGGGUAACGGCCUACCAAGGCAAUGAUCGGUAGCUGGUCUGAGAGGAUGGCCAGCCACACUGGGACUGAGACACGGUCCAGACUCCUACGGGAGGCAGCAGUGGGGAAUCUUGCGCAAUGGGCGAAAGCCUGACGCAGCGACGCCGCGUGGGGGAUGAAGCUUCUCGGAGUGUAAACCCCUUUCGACUGGGACGAAUGCCCGCAAGGGAGUGACGGUACCAGUAGAAGAAGCCCCGGCUAACUACGUGCCAGCAGCCGCGGUAAGACGUAGGGGGCCAGCGUUGUUCGGAAUUACUGGGUGUAAAGGGUUCGUANGCGGUGUGGCAAGUCGGGAGUGAAAUUUCUGGGCUUAACUCAGAAGCUGCUUCCGAAACUGCUGUGCUUGA
rnacentral:rRNA from 1 species